CUUGCUCUCCUGCUGCUUCCGCACCACCUCUGCCACUUGCUUCUGCUGCUUCCUCCCCUGAGAGUACCUGUGCACCUUGUGAAGCAGCUGCUGAUCAGGUGCAGAGAUGUCAGGGCAGAGAUGUCAAAAUCUGCAGGCUCUCCUGUACCAGGUGCCUGCAUGGCCUCUGAGCUCGUUUUGGACAGAGGCCAACCAGUUGUCACAUCUGGAAAGGCUGAGCGGAGGCACAGAUGAGGCAAGCCUUCUGAUGUGCCAGUGAAGUAGAGCCAUGGUGCUGGGUUCAGGCUGGUUGGUGGUGUUUGAGUCCACAGCAAGGAUAGUCAGGUAGGGCAAACCUGGGAAAGCAUGCCUCUUGCUAGUGCAGAGGAGUGCCUGAAAGCCACAUCUUCAAGGAGCACAGCUUCCUUGAGUGGAAAAGCUAUACUCCGUUCCACCUUCGGUCCGAGCGCAGUGGACGCCACAAGCCAUUCCAGCCGAUCCAGCGCCAGGAGAAAAUCGCGUGACCUGCCUGUUGGGCAGAGCGACACCUGAAGCUCAAGGUCACAUGCCACCCUCUCAACGCUUGAUUGGCUGGGAUGGCUCCUAUGGCGUCCACUGCGCUCGGGCUGAAGGUGAAAUGGAGUAUAGCACAGAGGAGUGCCCGAAAACCACUUCCUUAGGAAGCACAGCUUUUGGAGGGGACGGUGAGUGUGAAGCUAGUGCAGAGAAGUGCCCAAAAGUCACUUCCUUGGGAAGCACAGCUUCUGUAAAGGCCUGCGAGCAAGCAGCCCUUGUCACUGCCGAUGUUUCGGGUAGAAAAGCUAGUGCAGAAUGCCUAAAACCACUUUCUUGGAAGUCACAGCUUUUGCAGAGAAUGGUGAGCAUGAAGCUAGUGUAGAGGAGUGCCCGAAAGCCUCUUCCUUGGGGAGCACAGCUCCUGUAAAGGCAUGGGAGCAAGCAGCCCCAUGCCACUGGUAAUGCUUCGGGUGGGAAAGCUAGUGUAGAGAAGUGCCUAAAAGUCACUUCCUCGGGGAGCACAGCUUCUGUAGAGGCUGGCCUUUACUAAGUGGCUUUUGAAGUGACAGAAACCAAGGCAGUGUGCCCUUUCCAAAGCAACGGUGGGAGGAGGGAAGCAGCGUGGGUGAAGUACAAGAGCACAAAGCGAGGGUCUCGCAGGCUGUGUAAGGCACUAAACCAUACUGCCACUAUUGCAUCCCCCACCAUUGCUUGGGAUGGAGGAGACCUUGCAUAGGGUGCCUCUUUUCUUUGUAUGUGUCUGAUAAUCCAUUUUCUGGCUUGGGGGAGGACAGCCCAGCAUGUGCGACAAAGAGCAGGGCCACUGGAGGCAAGCAUCCCGUCACAGCCCUGCUGCAGAACCAUUUUCCUGCAGGCCAAGUUUAGCAACUAUCCAACCUAUCUAGCAGCAUUUGAAGACUAGACCCAAAAAGAGUUGCAUGUAUUUAAAAAAAAAAAAGAAAAAAAAAAAAAAGCUCAAAGACAUGUUCACUAGUUCAAUCUGAUGAAUUUAAGUACUCCAUCUAGUCAAACCAACAGCUAACUCCUUGGCCCAAUGCAGUGAACGAGAGCUAAAUGAAAAACUGAUCGAUAUUCAGGCGUUCCUUAGCAGUCUUACAACCUUCCCUAGCAGCCAGGUGCAGCUCUUGUCGUAGUCAGUUGCACCCUGUGCAGCUUGAGAGGAUGUAUCUCAGCAGCAGCUAAUAGACAACAAUCGGUGGGGCAACUUUUUCCGAAAAAACUGCAUUAGUUUGAUCAAGUGCAGGAGGCAGACCACGAAAUGUGACAGUUAUAAGAAAUCAUGCACUUUAUGGAAUGUUCCACAACAAGGCACUUUACCUUAGUAUGAUAGGGGCAGAGUUAAUUCCUCUCUACAGAAGUUAUUCACUUACUGAAAAAGAACUGGCAUGGUAAGAUCCAACAGUUCUCUGUCUGAUAGUGUUAUGAAUAUUGUGCGGUACUUAACAUGUAAAACAUUUCCACAUUGGGGUGGUUUUCAAGCUGUUCUGCUAGCUGAGGGACUAAAAUUCAAACAGGUGAGAGAUGCUUUCAUUCAGCUAUUGCGUACAAAGUUCCAGACCAUUGGCAGUGAUGUGAUACUUGUGCCAAAGAGGAACUCGGGCCAGCAUUGCGCCAAAACUUAAUUUAAACAACUCGCAAUUUGGCCGGAACGAUAGGAUUGUGCGAGUUUGCAGAUCUUUAGAAUAUUACGUCAUAUAACAUACUAACUCGGUCUGAUUUCGCAUCAAACACAGACAUUACUCGUGUAAGCGAGUGCCAUUGUGUUUUGCCCUUUUUCUUCUAUUUUGCCGGGCGCAUCCCUGAAGUCGCCUACGAAGCUAAGAGGGCACGAAUGUUGUGAGGCUCUGUGUUAACACUGACUCCUCGGCAUCAGGGGUCUCAAACGUGGAUUCCAGCGCCAUGAAGAUGCAAGUUGCAACUGGCUGGCGUCGGACCGGAUGCGACAUCUGCCAGCCAGGCGAGACCAAGCACCGCGAGAGAAGAACUAUACAGCAGUCUACCAGCGGGACUCUGAGCAAGAGCAUUGUGCGAUGGUGGUCUUUUGGAGGAGCCAGACUGCUAGAGAGUGCAUGCUCUCAGGUGGUGGAUAGAGAAAUGUCUUCUGUUAGGAAGUUGUGAAAACAACUUACUUCUACAAGAUAGGCACUCGUGCUCAUGGAUCAACAAGCUUCUUUUUUUUUUUUU